GAUGAACGCUGGCGGCGUGCCUAAUACAUGCAAGUCGAGCGAACAGACGAGGAGCUUGCUCCUCUGACGUUAGCGGCGGACGGGUGAGUAACACGUGGAUAACCUACCUAUAAGACUGGGAUAACUUCGGGAAACCGGAGCUAAUACCGGAUAAUAUAUUGAACCGCAUGGUUCAAUAGUAAAAUACGGUUUUUCUGUCACUUAUAGAUGGAUCCGCGCCGCAUUAGCUAGUUGGUAAGGUCACGGCUUACCAAGGCAACGAUGCGUAGCCGACCUGAGAGGGUGAUCGGCCACACUGGAACUGAGACACGGUCCAGACUCCUACGGGAGGCAGCAGUAGGGAAUCUUCCGCAAUGGGCGAAAGCCUGACGGAGCAACGCCGCGUGAGUGAUGAAGGUCUUCGGAUCGUAAAACUCUGUUAUUAGGGAAGAACAAAUGUGUAAGUAACUAUGCACGUCUUGACGGUACCUAAUCAGAAAGCCACGGCUAACUACGUG
rnacentral:rRNA from 1 species